rnacentral:rRNA from 1 species
ACGCUCGACACCUACUGGAGGCAGCAGUGGGGAAUAUUGCACAAUGGGGGAAACCCUGAUGCAGCGACGCCGCGUGAGCGAAGAAGUAUCUCGGUAUGUAAAGCUCUAUCAGCAGGGAAGAAGAUGACGGUACCUGACUAAGAAGCACCGGCUAAAUACGUGCCAGAGCCGCGGUAAUCUGAGCGGGCGUGGCAAGGC